UCGAUUAGUUUGAUCAUGGCUCAGGACGAACGCUGGCGGCGUGCUUAACACAUGCAAGUGGAGCGACGAACCAGGGCUUGCCCUGGGGCAAAGCCGCGAACGGGUGAGUAACACGUGGGUAACCUGCCUCGAUGAUCGGGACAACCCGGGGAAACUCGGGCUAAUACCGAAUGUGCUCGCGAGCCUCAAGGCUCGCGCGGAAAGGAAGCUUCGGCCUCCGCAUCGAGAUGGGCCCGCGGCCCAUUAGCUUGUUGGUGGGGUAAUGGCCUACCAAGGCGACGAUGGGUAGCUGGUCUGAGAGGACGAUCAGCCACACUGGGACUGAGACACGGCCCAGACUCCUACGGGAGGCAGCAGUGGGGAAUCUUGCGCAAUGCGCGAAAGCGUGACGCAGCAACGCCGCGUGGGGGAAGACGGCCUUCGGGUUGUAAACCCCUUUCAGUUGGGACGAAGCUCCGUCGGUUAAUAGCCGGCUGGAGUGACGGUACCUUCAGAAGAAGCCCCGGCUGACUACGUGCCAGCAGCCGCGGUAAUACGUAGGGGGCAAGCGUUGUCCGGAAUCAUUGGGCGUAAAGAGCGUGUAGGCGGCCCGGUAAGUCCGCCGUGAAAGUCCAGGGCUCAACCCUGGAAUGCCGGUGGAUACUGUCGGGCUAGAGUCCGGAAGAGGCGAGUGGAAUUCCUGGUGUAGCGGUGAAAUGCGCAGAU
rnacentral:rRNA from 1 species